CUUCGCCCUUUCCCCACCCUGGUAAUGUUUGUUGAUACUCGGGUUAAUUUCUUUAUUUUUGUUUUAGUUUUGUUUUUUGUUGUUUUGUUUUGGUUGUAUCGGGUUGUUUUUUUUAUUUGUUUUUCUUUAUAGGAUACAAUCUAUAGACUACUAUAGAAUGCGUCCUUUUUUCCACUGAUCAUCAGUGUGACAGGUGCCGGAGGUCUGCCUUGGCAGAAUUGUCAUGGCAAACUCCUAUUGCUACUAUAAUUAGCCUUAUUAUUACGUUUUUUGCUGUUUUGCCAUAGCUGUUUGCCAUUGCUGUUUGCCAGUUUUGCCAUUUGCCAGUUUGCCAUAAAUGUUUGCCAGUGUUUUGCCUAAUGUUUGCCAUUGCGGUCAUUUGCCCGACAAGGCUAGAUCGCCGACUAGCCUUGGCCACCAACGGCACCUACCUCCAAACUCGGAUACUCUGCCGUUAAAGUGAGUUAGUUACCUUUUAUAAAUUUAUUUGAUUUGCUAAGCUAAAUUCAACGAAAAUGUUACACCCCAAUCUGUCAAAUCUAUGAAGACGUACAGCUACUGUUUUUUUUCAUCUUAGAAAACCUGAAGGUUCAACACCAUUUUCUGUUUAUGUACCAUCAUUCCCUUUUAAUUCAUUAUUUAUUAACCAUCCAAAGCAUUUGCCUGGCCAAAUAUGAACCUCAAACCGUUUGCUUUAAUUAUAGUCCGAAGCUCAAUCAAAUCGUUUGAUUUGAAUCAAAUAUAUUGCAUGUUAUUUUUAUGAAUUAUUAAUGAGCAGGAAAACAUAUAGUUUCGUAAACGCGUAGAGCGUGUUGUUUACUAGAAAACAUAUAAUGAAUGUUUAUGAGUGCAAUGGUAGAACUAUUUUCAUUCGGCGAAAGAUGGAAUAUUCAUAACAUCAAAAAUUGAAAAUAAAUCAAUGUUAUCGAUUUGUUAUUGGAUUAGAUACGAAACAAAUAUAUACCUGAGUUGCAUGUACAGUACGAUGUUUAAAAUUAAUAGAAAUCCAACACAUAUGUUCCCAAAUGAUGAGUUAACGCGUUCCAUUGCACGCUCAGCAAAGUAGUAAUUUUUAUUC